CUAAUAAACCAGCGAUUGUUCCUGGUCGUCCGUCGUUAGUACUUUUGCAAAACGGUCCCUGUACUUUUGGGUAAUCAACCCGCAAUCCACGAUUAAGUGAACAACGUUUCGCUCAGCACGUUUUACAUAAAAACACCUCAUAUUUUACAUAAUCAGCCCGCAGUCCAUCACUAUCUCUUUCCUCCUGAGUCCGGGCGCUCCAGCCGGUUCCGAGCGAGAUGGGGCCGCUAUGCAGAUGACGCCGGGCGCGGCGGCGGCGAUCUCCGGCCAGAUCCGGUCGGGGAGGCGAGGCAGGGGCCAGAUCCUGUUCCGGGGACGGCGUGGAGGCGAUCUACGAGGCACGGGAGGAGGUCAGGCGGCGGGGCUUGAACUCCAGCAGGCCCCCUUUUGAUGGAUGGGGCCGCCCACAUCGCUAGCGACUCCUCGGAGGACGACAGGGCCUCCUCCUCCGCGUCCUCUAUCGGUUCGGCCUCCUGGCGCUCCCGGCCGCACAAGUGGAUUCACCUGCGGGGGCGCCGGCGCCGGCGACCGUUGUCCGCUCGGAGAGGAGAGGGCGGUGAAGCCAACGGCAAGGGCGACGGUGACGACGUGCAGGACCUCGCGCUGCCGCUGAGGAGAUGUCCUUCGCGGCGGUUCUUGCCCAGAUAAAAACUGUUGCAGCGGUAUAUGGAUUCAGAAGUGACGAGUGCCCAUGAUUAUGUUGCAGUACAUGCCUUUGGAAAACCAUGGCCAGUGUUGUUUCCACCGGACCGGGUCCUCUCUCCGCUGUUCUGAUCUAAUGUCGACUGUGUGCCGUUGGCUUUCCAUGCACAAGGUCCUACCGGCGGCAUUGGGCACCACGUGGGAAGCGGAAGGAGGAGCCGCAACUCUCCAUGCAAGCUCGGGUCAAUGUCAUCGCAAGUUCCGUGCUCGACGUUGCUGUUCAAUGUCGCCUCAGCUGAUUUCGCCCGCCGUCCGCCCGAUGCUCCACACUUUGCCGUAACUCAAUCUGCCAGUUCUCCGCUUGAGGUACGUACUGAAGCUAACCUGGCAAGAGGCAGGCAUGGGAGGCAUGAUUGUUGCUGAAGCGGAACUCAUGAAUGUCUCACGUCAUGUGGUUCUGUGCUAUUCUUAAUCUUCUUCUCUGAAGUGUGUAGUUUCAGUUCCACAUCAAAUGUGUUGCGCUUGCAGUGCGUACCAAUGUACAGUUUACCGAUGUGUAUAUAUGCGGAGUCGAUGGAAAACAUUGAAGCCAGUAGUUGUAUACCUAUUUCAAAAAUCAGCAAGUGGUUAGUAACAUUCUACAUCAAGGUAUUACAGAGAGAAAGGAGUAUCUCCUAUUUUAUUUUUGUGGGAUUGGGAGCAAUUUAGAAACUUAUGAAAAUAUAGGAAUCAUUCUCACUUUAAUCUCCAGUCCUCUUGUUUUGCUUCAUUUAUCAUGCAUUAUGCAUGUCAUAUGUUCCCACAAAUGCCUGGCAGAAGCACAACUUUCAUAGGGAACGUAGAAUGGUCACUUUGGUAGCAGGGCAGAUGCACAUUCCCAGUGUAUAUGUAAAAUUAUAUGCAUAUCUAGCCAUAGAAAUACAUGCAUCUGAACUGCAUCGGACAUAGUGUCGGACUGUCAGCCUAAAAUAUUCCUCUUUAUAUCAUUCUCUAUUUCUGUGAAUAUGCAAAUAUAAGUGCCAUGUAUGUGCUUGUGGAACUUUUGCUGUAAAAUUUCACUCUUCUUUACGAAAAGUAGGUUGAAGAAAGUUUUGAUUUUUCUUGGAUAGGUUAUCAUAUGACAGAACGUCUGGGGUGAAAGCUAAGCUACUUCCAAUGGUAAGAAUUGAAAUCUGGAUGAAACCUCCAUUAUUUGUUUUAUAUAUUUUUAGAUACAUGAGAGAACUAAUGAUAUUUUUAGACUGUAGAACAACCCUUUCAAGGAUUCUCUCUCUAUGAGCAUAUAUAUUGCCUCAGCUUAUAUCCAUUGCCGCACGCAUGGGCGUGUCAGUAGCAUUACUUUGAUAACAUGUCUAUAUCACUGUAAUGUUGGACAUAAGUUCUGCUACAUCCAAACAAGCUUAUCUGAUUUCCAAGAAGAGUAAAAAAAAUCUUUAGUAAUUUCCUGGAUUUUGCUUAUAUCACUGUAAUGUUGGACAAUAAGUUCUUAAUACAUUUGGAGCAUCUACUCUCUGGUAAGGAGUCAUGGGGAAGUCUAUAUUUUUAGUUGACAUUGUAAAUAAUUUUAAUGCCCACAAUUUUUUUUCUUGUUUCUUUUCAGGUCCCAAAUGAGAAGGCAAGAAGGUAUCAGCUGUAUGAGAAGACCCCCGCACAUGCCCAUUCCAUUCUCUAUGAAGUCAAAAGUUUCCCACUGAAUAUAUUUGGUACUAAAAUGGUCGUUAUGUCAGCACGACGAUCGUGUGCCUAUUGUUGGCUCUUAAUUCUUUAGGAUUAUUUGAUUUGUUUGAUUCAUUCUGUUCAUAUUUAUGCAGCAACAAAAUACAGUCAAGAUCAGGGUGUGUGAGGGUUAAACAUGUUAAUUUAUGUGGCAUCAAGCUAUGUAUGUUAAUAGCAUGAUCUCCUUUUCUUUUGCUUUGCAGAAUUAUUCUCGACACUGGAGAUAUAUGCUAAUCCUCUAGCUUUGCUAAUUUUAUCUUUUGAUUUCAUUUCAGUGGUGGAGUAUUGCACCUCAUUCACAGUUGUAGAUGUGUGUCAAGAUAUCAAAUCAUCUGUCUUUUAGGUCAACGGCAUGCCCAAGGUGGUUCACCCCUAGAUUUAAAUGACUCUAAAGUCCAUGGUCCACCUAAUAAAGAUAGAAAUAAUUAUGUUGGUAAGGUGGGUUAAACCCAACUUAAGCUCACACUGUUUUUAUGUUCUCUUACACCUGCAGGUAUUAUUAAACAAUAUCCUAACUGAAUAUCAAACACAUUGCUGGCUACAUGAUAUGUAAAGUAAAAUGUAUGUUGCUACUAAAAUUUAUAUCCGAAUGAUGGUGGCCAUUAUCUAUUUUUAAGCAAACAUAUCUCCCAAGUUUGACAAAGGUUUCCUUCA